rnacentral:lncRNA from 1 species
CAGAGUUCCUGGCUAUCUUUCAGUCUAAGUGCACGGCUAUUUUAAUUGAUCUCAGUCUAAAAAAAAAAUAAAUAAAAAUACAGCUCUCUGUAUUUUUAGAGUCACAAUGGCAAGCAUCGUGAUGUAGAAGCAUAUGCUCCUCUUGUUUCAGAAGAAUUAUCUCUCUUUCUUGCCAAAACUUCUUGCAAGUUUCUCAGGUUAUCAGAAUGGUAGCAUGAAAAGUUUGUAGAAGAAAUUGUAAGAUGCGAAUGCAAUGCAGUCAACUUCAUUGUUUGGCUUCAGCAACAUAAAGGCUCUCCAGCAUACUUCUAGCAUCUCUCUUUUGGAUUAAGUGUAGUCCCAGAUGUCCUGUCAAAAUAGCUAGAUGGUGAUAAUUAUCGUGCUUGUUAAUUACCACCAUUUUCUGCUCCAUAAAUUAUUGGUCUUCCACUUUCCCUUUUUAAGCUUCAUUCACUGAAACACAACCUAAAAUUUCUUACCUCACGCCUGCUGAGAACUGAGAGCAAAUGUGGAGUCAGCUCAGCUGAGGAGUGGUUAUUCGUCCCACUGCAGAAACUCCAGCAAACGAUAAUGGUUUUGUCCUUUCUUCAGCUGAAACCUGGGAGGGAGGGAAAUUUUGCAAAAGCGAUCCUAUCCAGGAUGGGGCUUGCUGUUGCUUGACCAGAGGAGCAAAACAUUGUGUGUGCAGAGGAAAGAGGGAACAGAAGAGCAAACAGUUUGUAUGAAAGGGUGCCUUCUUCCACCCCAAGGUGAUGGGCUAUGGAUCAGGACAACUAGCAUGUCUGGACGGACUUGUUCUGCUCAUCUCAUCUUUGAGAUCAUUUCAUCAUGAACUGAUGAACUGCUUGAAAGAACCUGUGAUGCCUGCUAACAAGACUCAAAGCAUGGGAAGGAAUAAAAAGCAGUAAUGAGCCCUGAUAUAAUUUCACCCACAUAGAUCUAUGAAAGAAAUAAAAGCUCAGCUUCAUUACA